rnacentral:lncRNA from 10 species
UCUGAAGUGGCACAACAUAACACAGUCACGUAAUUCCCCACUGCCAAGAGUAAGUGUCAUUUUAUGUUUAUGCCUGGCUUCCUAGGAAUCUCCUCUGAGUCAGAGUAGCUUACUGUCCAGUGAGUGUUUGGUCAGGAGCUGUGUUUAGACUUCUUAUGCUAGUUAAGCAUCCACUCCAUGUAAGUCUGCCCCAUCUCCUCUGAUUGCUUCUGAGUGAAUUCAGCCUUCCUGAAUCUCAGAGUUGACUAAAAUUCCAAGGGCUCUUCUUGAUUAUCUUUUUCCACGGUCCUCCUUAAUAAACUCCUGGAUGCUUUGCCAUUUUGUUUAAGUGAUACCAGCCUCUUCUUAAAUGCCCUCCACAAGUUCUCCAUUGUUACUACAAUGCUCUUUGGCUUGGAGUCCUCCAUACUCUGUUCCAAAUACUGUCGGUCCUGAGCUGACUUCUUCAUCCUUCUGGGCUGCCUUCCUGGUGGGCAGACCCUCAGCAACACUGCAUCAGAGCUGGGGUGACGACACCUCCACUUCACCUGGAUAUGGCACUGAAAUUCCAGCAACCACCUUGUGACAAGCGUGAGGAUGAAAACAUCACACCCAGAAGGACAAAGCUAAGACAGUCAUGCCCAGAUACCAGAGAACACAACUUCAAUGGAACCACUGUUGAGUACAGCCAUCGUCCCCUUUCCAGAACUCUGGAUCAUGUCAAUUUCAGUGCAUCUCAUCUCAUUCCCAUCAUCCGGUACCUGCCUCUCCAAGGACACAGCAGCAGAGGCACAGUGAUGCUGAAAGAGGAACCAUCUUGCCAGAGGCUGGCAUGGAACCGUGGCUGCGGUGAAAAAUGAAGGAAGAGGAGUUGAAUGAAGGCCAGUGAGCUGACCCGAAGCAUUUGAAGGUCCCGGACAACCUUACUCAAAUAUGAACUCGAGGUUAAAAGGAACCUUGGUAUUUUGUACCUCAUGCUGAAAUUACUGAAAUAUCUGACAUGAACUAUAAGAUUGACCUGAGUUUUUAUUUGAGAGUGAAAAUAUUCACCUCAUGUGGUCUGGAGACUUUAUCUAAUUGGAUUUGAACAUGAUUCUGAUCAAGAAACGUAUAUUUUCCCAUUUGGAAGCCUGGACUGAAAAUAAUUGCAGGAGAUUGAGAGUACACGUUGGUGAUUUCCAACACAGACACAAAGAGAUUAGUAUGGAGGUUAAACCUAUUCUCCAUACAGUAUUUAAAUGACUUACGUGAUGAGAUCAGGUCCCAAAGGACAUCUUAAUUUGCUAAUAAUGGAAAACCAUGGAGGAUCAAGCCAUCCCAGUGACACUGAAAAGAUUUAGCAGGAUUUAUGCAGAGUAGAAAUGGGCCUUGGGUUCCCUGCUGAGUCUUCUCCAUCCAGCUGGAUAAUGGGAAAAAGAGAGUGGAGAAGUCACACCUCCCUGGUCACCUAAACCUGCAUGUGAUGUAAUUCACUUCUGCUCACAUUUCAUCAGCAAGAACUGGUUUACAUGGCCCUAAUUAUAGCAAGAAGGCUAGGAAAUAUAUCCCAUGAGGGGCAGCCACUUCCAGCAGUAACUGGGAAGCAUGAAUUUUUGGUAGUCAACUAUUUGUCUCUGCCACAGUUCACCCCUUUGGCCACUAAAUAUGCUUUUGUAACUUUUUUCCCCACAAAAAAAAAUAUGAUAAACAAAGGGGAACAACUUCAAAUCAAACAUAAUGCUUCCUGUUCAAUGUCUAGGAUCUCUUUAUCAGAUCCAUGUGUGGCUCCUCUGAUACGGCAAUUUAUCAAUUAAAGUAUGACUGUCCCCUAAACACCUCCUAAUAUAAAAAGAAGAAGCAGGGUCAAUAUAAUGAAAUUAGAGUUUGCUUUUCUUAAAGGAAGGAAUGGGAGACACAGAGAAGUCCCUGAUGUAUAGCAAUGGUGAGUUCUUUCAAAAUAAGCAUUUUGAAAGUAGAAUGGCAUUUAGUUUUUUAAAAAUAUAGUAUCACAUACAAAUAAGUAUAUUAUCUGAUGCCAGGGAUAAGAGUUUGGGUAUUUUGACAUUUGAAGCAUGACUAAAACAAGGACACCAAUGUCCCCAGAUUACAAGGAAAAAUACUCCAUUAGACUGACUCACUUUUCAAAUUUGUAUGAAAACAUGCCUCCUCCCACACGCACAUGGAGACACCUUGGUAGCACUGAAAAUUGUAGUUUUUAUUUUAUUUUAUUAUUUAUUUAUUUUUGAUAUGGAGUUUCUCUCUGUCACCCAGGCUGGAGUACAGUGAUGCAAUCUUGGCUCACUGCAACCUCUGCCUUGCGGGUUCAAACGAUUAUCCUACCUCAACCUCCUGAGUAGGUGGGAUUACAGGCGCCUACCACCACCCCCGGCUAAUUUUUGUAUUUUUAGCAGAGACGAGGUUUCACCAUGUUGGCCAGGCUGGUCUCGAACUCCUGACCUCAGGCGAUCCACCCGCCUCGGCCUCCCAAAGUGUUGGGAUUACAGGUGUGAGCCACUACACCCGGCCAAUAGCACUGAAAAUUAAUGAUGCAGUGGAUACAACUGCCUCAUUUGUUAUUGGUCCAAUUUCUAAAUCGGUCACUUAGAUGGUAAUAACAUAAAGUAUGCUCAAAAGAUAUAGGCAGUUUCAAUGAACCCAGACCCCCACCCCCAUUACAAAUAAAUGUUUUUCCAUUCUAAUUUUUCCUCUUUGCCAUGCUGAGUUCUUUCACAGGGGCAAUUGGAAAGCCUCUUGCUAGUUUAGUACCUGUCAGACAUUUCCAUCCAGUGGGAUUUGUACCCUGGCCAUUUCUAGUUCUGUGUCACUGAAUUGGCCAGGAAACUCUAGCAACACAAACACAUUUUUAUAUCAUUUCCAACUUUCCCCUGCACUUGGUGCCAAUAUUUGAUUAUCUGCUCUAACAGAGGGGAAUAGAAAUACAAAGAGAUCCCAAAGUCAUUUAUAUUUGGCUUUACAGUAUAAUGACAACUUUUCAGUUUCUGCUCCUUUUUCAUGCAGUUUUAGUUAGACUAAUAUUAAAAUGAAUUUAUGCCCCUAGAAAAAAAAAAACAACAUGUUGGUUGAGUGUCAAGAGGAAAAGUAAUUCAGUGCUAAAAUUCUGUGAUGGAUAAUCUACAAUGUGGAAAAGCUACCACCAGUCAAUCAAGAAUUGAUGAAUAAAUUGAUUUUUUUCUUGUUUUUGACCACUUUAUUACAAUAUGAUUGACAUACAAAAGGCUGAACAUAUUUAAUGUAUACAACUUGAUGAGUUUGGAGAUAAAGGUACACCCAUGAGACUAUCACCACAAUCAAGACCAUAAAUUUCUCCAUCGCCUCCCAGCAUUUCCUUCUGCCCUAUUUUUAAAUUUUUCUUUUAAAAUUAAUGUUUGUUCUAUUGUGGUAAGAGCAUUGAACAUAAGAUCCACUCUCUAGCAAACUUUUUAAGUAUAAAUUAUUGUUAACUUUAGGACCCAAGUUGUACAGUAUUUAUUACUCCAGAACUUACUCAUCCUCCAUAACCAGAACUUGGCACCCUUUGACCAACACCUCUUCACUUCCCCUCUCCUCAGCCCCUGGUAAACACUGUUGUACUCUCCGAUCCCACGAGUUUGACUAUUUUAGAUUCCUCAUUAAAGUAGGAUCAUGUAGUAUUUGUAUUUCCGUGUCUGACUUAUUUCACUUGCCACAAGGUCCACCAGAUCCACCUAUAUUGUCAGAAAUGGCAGGAUUUCCUUUUUGAAGGCUAAUAGUCCAUUGUAUGUAUAUAUAGGUAUAUAUCACAUUUUCUGUAUCCAUUCAUCUGUGAAUAAACAUUUAGGUUGCUUUCACAUGUUGGCUACUGUGAAUAGUGCUGCAGUGAAUAUGGGAGUGCAGAUACUGCUUUGAUAUACUGAUUUUAUAUCCUUUGGAUAUAUAGGCAGAAGUGAGAUUGUUGGAUCAAAUGGUAAUUCUAUUUUUAAAAUUUUUUUGAGGAAUCUCCAUACUGUAUUCCACAAUGGCUGUACCAAUUUACAUUCCCGAUAAUAGUAUACAAAGGUUCGCUUUUCUCCACAUCCUGCCAACACUUUGUUAUUUUUGUUUGUAAUAGCCAUUAAACAGGUAGGAAGUCAUAUGUCACUGUGGUUUUGAUUUAUUUCUCCCUGGUGAUUAGUAAUGUUGAGCACAUAUUCAUGUACCUGUUUGUCUCCUUUGGUGUAAUGUCUAUUGAGGUCUUUGCUUAUUUUUAAAAAUUGGGUUAGUGUUAUAUAUUAUUAUUAUUAUUUGGUCUUGAGUUGUAGCACUUCCUUAUGUAUUUUGGAAAUUGUACCUUUCUCCGAUGUACAGUUUGCAAAUAUGUUCUUUCAUGUUUUCUCUUAUGUUUGGCCUUUUCAUUUUGUUGAUUAUUUAUUUUGUUGUGCAAAACCCUUGUGGUUUUAGGUAACCCUAGUUACCUAUUUUUGCUUUUGUUGCCUGUGCUUUUGGUGUGAGAUCCAAUAAUCAUUGCCAAAUCCAAUCUCAUUAAUCAUUUUUUCCUAUGUUUUAUUCUAAGCAUUUUAUUGUUUCAGGUUUUACAUUUAAGUCUUUAAUCCAUUUUGAGCUGAUUUUUGUGUAUGGCAUAAGAUAAGGGUUUAACUUAAUUACUUUGGUUUCCUACACCAUUUAUUGAAAGUAUUGUCUUCUCCCCAUUGUGUAUUUUUGGCACCCUUGAUAUAGAUUAGUUGACCACACAUACAUGGGCUUAUUUCUGGGACCUCUAGUCUAUUCUAUUAGUUCGUAUGUUUGUUUUUAAGGCCAGUACCAUACUGUUUUGAUAUCUUAGGCUUGAAAAUAUAUUAUGAUAAGAGGGAUUAUGAUACUUUAAGCUGCUGUAUUUUUACUCAAAAUUGUUUUCGUUUAUUAGGGUCUUUUGUGUUUCCAUAUAAAUUUUAUGAUUUCUUUUUCUAUCUAUGUAAAAAGUGCUAUUGGUGGAUUGGCUCAUAGAAAAUAAUUUUAUAUAAUUUUUAAUUAUAAUAGAGAUUACACUGAUUCUGUAGAUCACUUUGGGUAUAAGUUGAUUUUUAUUUGAAGAAUAAAUUCUUUUCUCCUUCUGUGAAA